rnacentral:rRNA from 1 species
UGGGGAAUCUUGGACAAUGGGGGCAACCCUGAUCCAGCCAUGCCGCGUGAGUGAUGAAGGCCUUAGGGUCGUAAAGCUCUUUCGCCUGUGAAGAUAAUGACGGUAGCAGGUAAAGAAACCCCGGCUAACUCCGUGCCAGCAGCCGCGGUAAUACGGAGGGGACUAGCGUUGUUCGGAAUUACUGGGCGUAAAGAGUUCGUAGGCGGACUAGCAAGUUAGAGGUGAAAUCCCAGGGCUCAACCUUGGAACUGCCUUUAAAACUGCUAGUCUAGAGACCGGAAGAGGUUAGGGGAAUACCUAGUGUAGAGGUGAAAUUCGUAGAUAUUUGGAGGAACACCAGUGGCGAAGGCGGCUCACUGGCUCGAUACUGACGCUGAGGUGCGAAAGUGUGGGGAGCAAACAGGAUUAGAUACCCUGGUAGUCCACGCCGUAAACGAUGAGUGCUAGAUGUUGGGAUUUUCGGAUUUCAGUGUCGCAGCUAACGCAUUAAGCACUCCGCCUGGGGAGUACGGCCGCAAGGUUAAAACUCAAAGGAAUUGACGG